rnacentral:snoRNA from 1 species
AUCCACUUCCUAGCCAUGGAAGAGCAUGUUCAUGUUUAUGGCAGAGCUGUCACCAUUUAAUUGGUAUCAGAUUCUGACUGGCACAAGUAACAUUC